UACGUAGGGACCAAGCGUUGUUCGGAUUUACUGGGCGUAAAGGGCGCGUAGGCGGCAAUUCAAGUCAUCUGUGAAAUCUCCGGGCUUAACUCGGAACGGUCAGAUGAUACUGCUUUGCUAGAGUGCGGAAGGGGCAAUCGGAAUUCUUGGUGUAGCGGUGAAAUGCGCAGAUAUCAGGAGGAACACCGGUGGCGAAGGCGGGUCUCUGGGCAGUAACUGACGCUGAGGAGCGAAAGCGUGGGGAGCGAACAGG
rnacentral:rRNA from 1 species